AAUAUACUCCCUCAGUCCGAAAAUACUUGUCCUAAAAAUGGAUACAAAUGGAUGUAUCUAGAACUAAAAUACAUCUAGAUACACUCAUUUCUUGGACAAGUAUUUCCGGACGGAGGGAGUAUUUC
rfam:Triticum aestivum genome assembly, contig: Triticum_aestivum_CS42_TGACv1_scaffold_289155_4AL